AUGAAACUGUUUUGUUUGAGUAACCAUAAAAUAGGAAAAAAAGAGAAAUACACUCAAGAGCCAGCCCCGACCCAUCUUUCUUUAAGCCCACUAAGUAGCCGGCACACCCCCAAAGCCAGCCUCUUUUCGCAAAAAAAUAUAAAAAAUGCCAGCCUCUUCCAUUGCUUUGUCCUCCUUCUCGAUGAAGAACAGCGGUGGCACACUUCUGGUCACUCGCUCCUCGCACUGUGUCCCCGAUCCGCCUGGGAGGCACCUGCACGUGGCUGACUCGCUCUCCUCUACCUCAGCUCGCCGUCCUCCUGCCGUCGCUUAGUGGCAAGACCACCACGACGCCGCUCGCUCUCCUCCCAGAUCUCUGCAGAGUGCCUCCUACUGGAUGACCCCGCGUGUGCGCCGCCCGCCGCUUCACACAUCAGCGCCGCCACCUUGCUGCCGUCCCGGAGAGCCUACUGACAGCCACCGCUGGCCUCUCCAUUCUCUCCCGCGCCUGGCUGCCCUCCACCCCGCUCUGCUUCUGUAACGCCGCCUCCGCGCCAGCAAGUCCCGACACCGGCGAGCCAUUGUCCUUUGGGUGAUGCGGUGCUCCCUCGUCUGCGCCUGUGGCGGGCCGGCUGGUGCUGGGAUUAGGCGCGCACUGCGGCCUCGGCUACAAUUUUCGACUGGCUAGUCUUGUUUCCGCUCAGGUCUCUUGCGGCAUGUAGUUAAUUGUAAGGGCGAUCUUGCACAGUUCUACCUGAUGUACUGCAUAGUCCAAGUCUUUCUAGACAAAUACCAUCUACAGACAUUGGAAACAUUGUUGAGCGCCUUUCCCCAGCUACAGGCUACAUAAGCGACUGGAUUUUUGGAUUUCCAGCAAGAUACGGGCAUAGAUAUAAUUAACCAGCAAGCUGAGUCUGGUCAAACUAUCGACAUCACUGUCAGGACAGAUAGAGCACGGUGUGGCUGCCGGGACUCUGGCGACAGGAACCUGGGCUUGCAGCGGAUGCCACGAUGAACCAUAGAGUUGCAGGAGCGAGCAGCAGAGUGAAGGGAGGCGCAGAAGAGCAGGUCUAGCAGGCGGCGUGGUGGAGCGGUGACGGCUACGCGUGCCGGUGGUGGUGGUGGUGCUGCUGGGGCGAGGCAGGGUGGCAAGAAAAACACCCGGUGUCCAAGUGUCAUGGCGGCGGGCGGG